rnacentral:rRNA from 1 species
UACGAGGGGGGCGAGCGUUGUUCGGAAUUAUUGGGCGUAAAGGGUGCGUAGGCGGUUCCGCAAGUCCUGUGUGAAAUCUUCGGGCUCAACUCGAAGUCUGCACGGGAAACUGCUGGGCUUGAGUGUGGGAGAGGUGAGUGGAAUUCCCGGUGUAGCGGUGAAAUGCGUAGAUAUCGGGAGGAAUACCUAUGGCGAAAGCAGGUUUCUGGGCCAUCACUGACGCUGAGCUGCGAAAGCUAGGGGAGCAAACAGG